rnacentral:rRNA from 1 species
GAUGAACGCUGGCGGCGUGCCUAAUACAUGCAAGUCGAGCGAACGGACGAGAAGCUUGCUUCUCUGAUGUUAGCGGCGGACGGGUGAGUAACACGUGGAUAACCUACCUAUGAGACUGGGAUAACUUCGGGAAACCGGAGCUAAUACCGGAUAAUAUUUUGAACCGCAUGGUUCAAAAGUGAAAGACGGUCUUGCUGUCACUUAUAGAUGGAUCCGCGCUGCAUUAGCUAGUUGGUAAGGUAACGGCUUACCAAGGCAACGAUGCAUAGCCGACCUGAGAGGGUGAUCGGCCACACUGGAACUGAGACACGGUCCAGACUCCUACGGGAGGCAGCAGUAGGGAAUCUUCCGCAAUGGGCGAAAGCCUGACGGAGCAACGCCGCGUGAGUGAUGAAGGUCUUCGGAUCGUAAAACUCUGUUAUUAGGGAAGAACAUAUGUGUAAGUAACUGUGCACAUCAUGACGGUACCUAAUCAGAAAGCCACGGCUAACUACGUG